rnacentral:lncRNA from 1 species
AGGAAGGUAAGCCAUGAGGACAGUCUGUUCUUGCUCACUAACAGGCAUUUCUUUUUGUCUGCAGGCUGGGCUUAGCCCUGAAUAAGUAAGUAAGUCGAAAAAGAGCACACAGAUGUGAGAAGUAUUCGUGUCAGAGGAACUGCCCUACAACACUUACAAGCUGCUUUGUUCAGGAAACACUGAGUGAAGCGGCUUUUGUGAUUGCAAAAGAGCGACAGCAUCAAUUCCCAUUCUGAUCUGAAGACCAGCUGGAAUGACUGAGUGCCAUUAUGAUAUACAAGGAUAACUAGAAGUAAGAGGUAAAUGGUAUGGAAGUAAUGGUUAAUGGCAUGGUAUGGAAGACUAGAACAGUGUCGAGACAACGGAUGUCACAGGCCAACAGAGCUGGUGUACAAGGAACAACAUUGUGCCUUCGGUUCUAACUACAGCUAACAAAACUUUCAGCCUCCAGGAGUCAUAUUAAGUACAAACCUGCAGCAGUAUAAAAGUCCCAGUUGAUUUAGAGCUUCAUCUCGAUUUAAUGUACUUUUGACUUGGAUAUAGAGGCUCUCCUUUGCUCAGCAGGGGAGCAGAGAAACACAUAUGACGCUAUGAUAAAACUCUCAGUGAAUUUUUCUGCAAGCCCAAAGAGGAAGAAACAUGAAGGUUAGUAUUCAGAGAUUGAUUCUGGAAGCUACUGAGAGGCCUUAGAGAGGGGAUUGGGUCCACAGAAGAGCAGAGGUGAAGAAUAAACUAAAUCAUAUCUAAACA